rnacentral:tRNA from 1 species
GGCGGGGUGCGUUCAUGCGAACUGAUGUGGUGUUAAAGUGUGGUUUUAAGCUAACUCAUUGAUUCUUGGAAGCUAAAACGGCCUGCAAAGCCGUCUAGACGGGUUCGACUCCCGUCCUCGCCUCCA